AUUUGCAAUCAGAUUACCUGGAAUGCACCCAAUCUCGUCAGAUCUCAGCAGCUAAAGAGGUUUAAUCCUGGCUAGUACUUGGAUAGGGGACUGCCUGGAAAUACCUAGUUGUUGUAGGCU
rnacentral:rRNA from 1 species